GUGAGUGUAGCUCAGUUGGCAGAGCAUCGGAUUGUGGUUCCGAGGGUCGUGGGUUCGACCCCCACCACUCACCCCA
rnacentral:tRNA from 1 species